UACGUAGGGAGCAAGCGUUGUCCGGAAUCAUUGGGCGUAAAGCGCGUGUAGGCGGCCCGGUAAGUCCGCUGUGAAAGUCGGGGGCUCAACCCUCGAAUGCCGGUGGAUACUGUCGGGCUAGAGUGCGGAAGAGGCGAGUGGAAUUCCUGGUGUAGCGGUGAAAUGCGCAGAUAUCAGGAGGAACACCAAUUGCGAAGGCAGCUCGCUGGGACGUGACUGACGCUGAGACGCGAAAGCGUGGGGAGCAAACAGG
rnacentral:rRNA from 1 species